rnacentral:lncRNA from 1 species
UUGUCUUCAUAAGAAGGAAAGUGGGAAGCCAUUCCAAAACCUUCAGCCUUCUCUAUAAAUAACGUUGCUGUAGAAAAAUGUUCAAAACCCAAUCAUUAAAAAAGGAAGUUUACAAGAUUCAUAUAUAAGUAGUAUAACAACAAAUCUUACUGCCCUGUCAGGUGGAAUUUGGCACAUCAUUGGAGUCAUGGAACUCUGCUCAUUAAAGCGCUGCAGAAGUAUACGGUUAGAAUCUAGUGAAAUCCAAGGUCCUUGAAGAGGGUAGCAACCUAAAAAUUUUGUUUAAAAGAAAGAGUGUAAAUUUCCAACCAAAUAUCCUAUUAAAGAGAACGUAGAAAACAUCAAAGCGCCCCGAAAAAGGAUAGAUAAUAUUACCUCACUAUAAACCUCACUGAAGUCCUUGUGUUACUUGCAAUACAUGUUUAAAAUGUCCAAAAAUGAUUUGUAACCAUGCUCAUCACGUUGGAACCGCUUUUGUAAAAGCAAAACAUUUUAAUUACAAAAAAGAAUAAACUAUAUCAGCAAAACCACCAGAAAAACUGAUUCUCCUUUAUCUUCAUAAAACUGAUUGCUUCUUCGAAUUCAAAACCGAAGAGAGAAUCAAGGAAAAAAAAGGUAUUUAAGGUUUUUUGGUUUUACAAAUUUAGGGAUUUUGGGUGUUUGGUUUUACGAAUCAAGAACUUCCCAAAAUGCAAGACCUUCCUCAAUCAAAAUCUCCCAAAAAUGCAACGUCUUCCACACACAACACGUGAACCACACCACAAAGCGUUUGUGCCAAUCGAAAGAAAGAAAAAAAGGGAUUAGGGUUUUCUGGUUCUACGAAUUUAGGGAUUUUCGAAUGAACAGAGAAGAUUACUUAGUAGAUGAAUGAAUAAUAAACCCUAAAUCAGAAGAACGAAGACUUAGUCAGAGCGAGAAAAACGAACUUCUUCUUUGUAAGUCAGUGCGAGACAAUGGUGACGAAGGAGUUAGCGGAGUGCGAAGAAGAAGACAAUGGUGAACUGUGUAAGAGUGAAAGAUAUGGACAUGGAGUGAGUGCAAGAGUGAGCUCAGUGAGCGAGAGAGUGAGACAAUAUAAAGGAGCGAGAGAGAACGAGGGUUGAAGUGCUCGAGAGAGAGGCAGUGAGUGAAAUGGGUGAGAAUGAGGGAGCGAGAGAGAACUAAGGUUGCAGUGCUCGAGCUGCGUAAGUGAGAAACAUAAUAAGUUAUAUUUUUAAUUUUUAAU